AUUAAAGAACAUUUACCUAAUGCAAAUCUGUCUAACAUCUUUGUGAUGAACACACAGGCUGCUAAUGAUUCAUCAAGCGUGUAUGAUCACCCAACAUCAUCUCAUGCGAGUCACAACAGUUCAUGAAGACCUCACUUGUAU